GAUGAACGCUGACAGAAUGCUUAACACAUGCAAGUCAACUUGAAUUUGGGUUUUUAACUUCGGUUUGGGUGGCGGACGGGUGAGUAACGCGUAAAGAACUUGCCUCACAGCUAGGGACAACAUUUGGAAACGAAUGCUAAUACCUAAUAUUAUGAUAAUAGGGCAUCCUAUAAUUAUGAAAGCUAUAAGCGCUGUGAGAGAGCUUUGCGUCCCAUUAGCUAGUUGGAGAGGUAACGGCUCACCAAGGCGUGGAUGGGUAGCCGGUCUGAGAGGGUGAUCGGCCACAAGGGGACUGAGACACGGCCCUUACGCCUACGGGAGGCAGCAGUGGGGAAUAUUGGACAAUGGACCGAGAGUCUGAUCCAGCAAUUCUGUGUGCACGAUGAAGUUUUUCGGAAUGUAAAGUGCUUUCAGUUGGGAAGAAACAAAUGACGGUACCAACAGAAGAAGUGACGGCUAAAUACGUG
rnacentral:rRNA from 1 species